rnacentral:misc_RNA from 1 species
UCGUAACAAGGUUUCCGUAGGUGAACCUGCGGAAGGAUCAUUACCUUUCAGUACAGAAGCGUUGUGUUGGUUGAGUUGUGCCGGUUGAGUCUCGCUGACAAGUGGGAUUCCUGGUGGCAACUCCCUUCAUAAUUCUCCCUGUCUAUCAUCCUUGUCUUUUGCGUACUAUUGUUUCCUCGGUGGGCUUGCCCACCGGUUGGACAACCUUAUAACCUAUUUAAUUUUCAAUCAGCGUCUGAAAUAAUAUAAUAAUUACAACUUUCAACAACGGAUCUCUUGGUUCUGGCAUCGAUGAAGAACGCAGCGAAAUGCGAUAAGUAGUGUGAAUUGCAGAAUUCAGUGAAUCAUCGAAUCUUUGAACGCACAUUGCGCCCCUUGGUAUUCCAUGGGGCAUGCCUGUUCGAGCGUCAUUUGUACCCUCAAGCUUUGCUUGGUGUUGGGUGUUUGUCUUUUCCACGCGAUCAGACUCGCCUUAAAAUAAUUGGCAGCCAGUGUUUUGGUUUUGAAGCGCAGCACAAGUCGCGAUUCAGCUUAUAUCACUAGUUUCCAUUAAGCAUUUUAUCACUUUUGACCUCGGAUCAGGUAGGGAUACCCGCUGAACUUAAGCAUAUCAAUAA